rnacentral:ncRNA from 2 species
GAUAUCCACUAGGGGCGCCCGCGAGGGCUGAGAUAAAGCGAAGCUUUGGUCCCUUUGAACCUGAUCUGGGUUAUGCCAGCGUAGGAAAGUGGUUGAACGGUGCC